UACGGGGGGGGGCAAGCGUUGUUCGGAAUUACUGGGCGUAAAGGGCUCGUAGGUGGCCAACUAAGUCAGACGUGAAAUCCCCAGGCUCAACCUGGGAACUGCGUCUGAUACUGGGUGGCUUGAAUCCGGGAGAGGGAUGCAGAAUUCCAGGUGUAGCGGUGAAAUGCGUAGAUAUCUGGAGGAAUACCGGUGGCGAAGGCGGCAUCCUGGACCGGCAUUGACGCUGAGGAGCGAAAGCCAGGGGAGCAAACGGG
rnacentral:rRNA from 1 species